GAUUAACUGUGCAUUGGAGUUCGGAACCACCAGAACAUCAAGUAAUAGACUGCCGAGGAUUCUAGAAGAUCCUUGUUUGAUCCUCCCGAGAAGCCUCUCUCUAAGUAAUAUUUGGAACUCUCUUCCCUCGAAGAAAACAAAACAGGAACCUAACAUGGCUUCCCUCCGAAAGGCCCAACAAACAGCUGACUGAGACAUAAGGAGAUACAACCAACCAAUGGACUGAAGUCAGGAACCUCUGAACCUCAUUGUUGAGCUCAACUUGUGAUAAUGUGGCCAUUGAGAGAAAUGAACUGCUUGUGAGGUUCCUAUGGCAGCUUGCUGCUUCCACUGCCUCAGGUCUGCCGGUUCCUUCAGGAUUGAACUAAAACUGCUGGUUCGCAUGUGGUAUAUGCUUGCCUAGAGGACCGGUUUGCAGCUGCUGAAUUGUAUUUGGUGUUUGCUGUGGGACUGAACUGCUAAGAAAGGAGAUCAAGUUCACCCCCAAAAGAACUACUGCUAAACAGAUUAAUCUACACAGGUUAAAAAAUGAAUUCCAGUAACAUCUAAGCUUACAUUGAGGAUUCACAGAUGCAAACUGACCUGUUGCCUUCGGCACCUUCUCCAUGCCUUUCCCAUUGGGAUGGAAUUUCUCUCCUGUAACUACCUCAAGAGUGGCAGAUCACCAAGCAAUAAGCACACUUAUUUGGAGUCAUUGCCUCCUCACCAAAUAUGUAAGGUGUAUUGAUCAAAAAUAGACAGAAUAAACCGAUAAGUGAGGAGCUCACAGGAUUUCCUAGUGUAUGUGCUAGAUCAUCUAUUUCCUCUUGCAUGUUACUGAAUAAAAGGCUAUUUUCAGUCAGGAGAAACAAUGACACAAAAUACCACUGCCUCCAUUUGCAAGAGACUUUGUAAGUGCCUUACAGGAAGUUAGUCAUGGCCCUUGAAUGGUGUGUAAGAGCACUUGCACUGUUAAAUCGCAUGCUUACUUCAGGAUUCUGGAAUCUUCCCAAACUGUUUGCUUACCUUUGGCUGAAUUUUCUGACUAGAUGGAAGGGGCUUUCCAAUGAUUUGCCACACAGGGCUUAUCUUGAAUUGUGUAACAGGCAGUACAGGGACUAGGCAACUGUUUGAGAUCGAGAAAUGACUAUGUACAUUAUCAACAAUUGUUUGUAGAGAUAGAGGGAAGGGUUGUUAACUUCCUUUGGAAAACAAAUCUUUUGCUAAUUACUAUGCUAUCUGGCUUGUAGACAGAUGAAUAGAGAAAAAAGUCACAAAA
rnacentral:lncRNA from 1 species